UAGGGGACAUCUGUGUGCACUGACUGAACUAGCUGUGUCUGCUUCCUGGGGGAGAGACAGGAUCUCUUUGGAUUGUCAAAGGGAAGCAGAGAAGCCAGCAUAUUAGCAAAGGGAAGAGGGAGUUAGGGGUGGUUGUGGGGUCUGAAAAGAAAGGUGAGGUAGGGGGCAGUUAGAAGACUGUGGCAGUAAUUCAGGAAGAGGUGACAGUGACUCCAACAAGGGUUGGGGGCGGGGAGAGUGUUUUCUCACAUACUUAGAACUGGAAUAAAUAAGAUUUAUAGCAAAGUACUUCCUGCCAAAACCAGACUGCCAUCCCGACGUGCAGGAAAGAUGAUUCAGAAGAUAACAGCGCUGCCUGGGCUUGAGAACCAGAACCCACGUAAAAACGGUUACGUGGUAUACAACUAUAACCCCAGCAUUCCUGCUGACGGGUUUCUGGGGCUUGCUGACCAGCCAGGCUCGGGUUCAGUGACAGGCCCCUUCGAGGAAGUAGAGUGACAGAGCAGAAUACUCAGCGCCCCCUUCUGGCUUCCACAGGUACACCCGCAAGUGCACCUGCAUACACACGUGUGCAUUCGUGUGCAAACAAAGAAAACUCAUGAAUCUCAAAGGAACAUUCUCAAGGCUUUUUUAAAAAGUGAAGAUAUAAAGCAUAAAGUGGAAAAUAACAGCUAUUAUCAUUUUGAAUGCUUUUAAUAUAAAUUAAACAAUCUUUUAUAAAGUGCUUAGGGUUA
rnacentral:lncRNA from 1 species